rnacentral:rRNA from 1 species
AUCCAGACUCCUACGGGAGGCAGCAGUGGGGAAUAUUGCACAAUGGGGGAAACCCUGAUGCAGCGACGCCGCGUGAGUGAAGAAGUAUUUCGGUAUGUAAAGCUCUCUCAGCAGGGAAGAAAAUGACGGUACCUGACUAAGAAGCCCCGGCUAACUACGUGCCAGCAGCCGCGGUAAUACGUAGGGGGCAAGCGUUAUCCGGAUUUACUGGGUGUAAAGGGAGCGUAGACGGCAUGGCAAGUCAGAUGUGAAAGCCCGGGGCUCAACCCCGGGACUGCAUUUGAAACUGUCAGGCUGGAGUGCAGGAGAGGUAAGUGGAAUUCCUAGUGUAGCGGUGAAAUGCGUAGAUAUCAGGAGGAACACCGGUGGCGAAGGCGGCCUGCUGGACUGCAACUGACGUUGAGGCCCGAAAGCGUGGGGAGCAAACAGGAUUAGAUACCCCGGUAGAA